rnacentral:rRNA from 1 species
GCAUGAAGUCGGAAUUGCUAGUAAUCGCGGAUCAGCAUGCCGCGGUGAAUACGUUCCCGGGCCUUGUACACACCGCCCGUCACACCAUGGGAGUCGGUAACACCCGAAGCCAGUAGCCUAACCGCAAGGAGGGCGCUGUCGAAGGUGGGAUUGAUGACUGGGGUGAAGUCGUAACAAGGUACC